AGAGUUUGAUCCUGGCUCAGGACGAACGCUGGCGGCGUGCCUAAUACAUGCAAGUAGAACGCUGAGAACUGGUGCUUGCACCGGUUCAAGGAGUUGCGAACGGGUGAGUAACGCGUAGGUAACCUACCUCAUAGCGGGGGAUAACUAUUGGAAACGAUAGCUAAUACCGCAUAAGAGAGACUAACGCAUGUUAGUAAUUUAAAAGGGGCAAUUGCUCCACUAUGAGAUGGACCUGCGUUGUAUUAGCUAGUUGGUGAGGUAAAGGCUCACCAAGGCGACGAUACAUAGCCGACCUGAGAGGGUGAUCGGCCACACUGGGACUGAGACACGGCCCAGACUCCUACGGGAGGCAGCAGUAGGGAAUCUUCGGCAAUGGGGGCAACCCUGACCGAGCAACGCCGCGUGAGUGAAGAAGGUUUUCGGAUCGUAAAGCUCUGUUGUUAGAGAAGAAUGAUGGUGGGAGUGGAAAAUCCACCAAGUGACGGUAACUAACCAGAAAGGGACGGCUAACUACGUGCCAGCAGCCGCGGUAAUACGUAGGUCCCGAGCGUUGUCCGGAUUUAUUGGGCGUAAAGCGAGCGCAGGCGGUUUUUUAAGUCUGAAGUUAAAGGCAUUGGCUCAACCAAUGUACGCUUUGGAAACUGGAGAACUUGAGUGCAGAAGGGGAGAGUGGAAUUCCAUGUGUAGCGGUGAAAUGCGUAGAUAUAUGGAGGAACACCGGUGGCGAAAGCGGCUCUCUGGUCUGUAACUGACGCUGAGGCUCGAAAGCGUGGGGAGCAAACAGGAUUAGAUACCCUGGUAGUCCACGCCGUAAACGAUGAGUGCUAGGUGUUAGGCCCUUUCCGGGGCUUAGUGCCGGAGCUAACGCAUUAAGCACUCCGCCUGGGGAGUACGACCGCAAGGUUGAAACUCAAAGGAAUUGACGGGGGCCCGCACAAGCGGUGGAGCAUGUGAU
rnacentral:rRNA from 1 species